AACGAACGCUGGCGGCAGGCUUAACACAUGCAAGUCGAACGCCCCGCAAGGGGAGUGGCAGACGGGUGAGUAACGCGUGGGAACGUGCCCUUCGCUUCGGAAUAGCCCCGGGAAACUGGGAGUAAUACCGAAUACGCCGUAUUGGGAAAGAUUUAUCGGCGAAGGAUCGGCCCGCGUUAGAUUAGGUAGUUGGCGGUGUAAUGGACCACCAAGCCUACGAUCUAUAGCUGGUCUGAGAGGAUGGUCAGCCACACUGGGACUGAGACACGGCCCAGACUCCUACGGGAGGCAGCUGUGGGGAAUCUUGGACAAUGGGCGCAAGCUUGAUCCAGCCAUGCCGCGUGAGUGAAGAAGGCCUUAGGGUUGUAAAACUCUUUCGCCGGAGAAGAUAAUGACGGUAUCCGGAGAAGAAGUCCCGGCUAACUUCGUGCCAGCCGCCGCAGUAACAC
rnacentral:rRNA from 1 species